UCCGUAGGUGAACCUGCGGAGGGAUCAUUACUGAGUGUAAAAACUCCCAAACCCAUUGUGAACAUACCUCUGUUGCUUCGGCGGAUGCGCCCCGGGCGCGCCCUCACAGGCGUGCCCCGGAAUCAGGCGCCCGCCGGGGGACCGAAACUCUUGUCUUCUUAGAGAAUCUCUGAGUGUGAUUUUAAAUCAAAUCAAAACUUUCAACAACGGAUCUCUUGGCUCUAGCAUCGAUGAAGAACGCAGCGAAAUGCGAUAAGUAAUGCGAAUUGCAGAAUUCAGUGAAUCAUCGAAUCUUUGAACGCACAUUGCGCCCGCCAGUACUCUGGCGGGCAUGCCUGUCUGAGCGUCAUUUCAACCCUCGCGCCCGGCUUCUGUCGGGGGCGGUGUUGGGGAUCGGCCUCCCGUCUUCCGGGCGGCCGGCCCCUAAAAUGGAGUGGCGACCGCGCCGUAGCCUCCUCUGCGUAGUAGUGAAACACUCGCGGGCGGAGAGCGGUGCGGCCCGCCGUAAAACCCCCAACUCUUCUAAGGUUGACCUCAGAUCAGGUAGGAAUACCCGGCUGAACUUAAGGCAUAUCAAUAAGGCGGGGAGGGGAAGGUCGGACUGGCCAAGGGCACACAGGGGGGGGAUA
rnacentral:rRNA from 1 species